UACCAAAAUCCGGGAUGCUCAAGUCCCUUAAUCAGCCCUCUGUGUCCACAGGUUCCACAUCUGCUGAUUCAACCAACCGUGCAGAACCGUGGAUAUGGAGGGCCCACUGUAUGGAAAAGAUGAACCUCAGAAAAGUAACCAGGCACCUGUCAGAACCAAGGAAAUGUAAAGAAGAGUUGAAAGGGCCUUAGAGUUGGUCACACCAACCCCUUCACAGGGCUGCUGCCUUAAGUGAACAUUAUGAAAACUUACUCCUUGGGUUGGGACUGAGGUGUCUACAGAAAGGGACGUCUUUGUAUUUCAUCUACCAACAGGAUCACUUUCUGUAAUUUAUUGAGAAGCUCUGUAUGUGCUAGCAGUGCCCCUAAUUAUGUCAUGUGACUAUUUGUCUAAGUAAUCCA
rnacentral:lncRNA from 1 species